rnacentral:lncRNA from 1 species
CCAUAGGCCCGCCUGACGUGCCCGUGCUGCAACGCGCGCAAGAAGGACGCGGUGCUGACCAAAUGCUUCCACGUCUUCUGCUUCGAGUGCGUCAAGAGCCGCUACGACACCCGCCAGAGGAAGUGCCCCAAAUGCAACGCCGCCUUCGGGGCCCACGACUUCCACCGCGUCUACAUCAGCUGAGCCCCGCGACCCGAACCGCCCCAGAACCCCCCCUUAACCCCCCCAUAACCCCCCCAUAACCACCCCAUAACCCCCCAUAACCCCCCCUUAAGUGACCCACGAGUUGGGGUGGGGGGACGAAGGGGGACCCAUAACCCCCCCAUAACCCCCCCAUAACCCCUCCAUAACCCCCCCCCUGUGAAGCGACCCACGAGUCGGGGUGGGGGUACGAAGGGGGACCCAUAACCCCCACAUAUCCCCCCCAUAACCCCAUAACCCCCCCCCUUAAGUGACCCACGAGUUGGGGGGGAGGAUGAAGGGGGACCCAUAACCCCCCCACAACCCCCCCAUAACCCCAUAACCCCCCCCUUAAGCGACCCACGAGUUGGGGUGGGGGGACGAAGGGGGACCCAUAACCCCCCCAUAACCCCCCCAUAACCCCCCCAUAAACCCAUAACCCCCCCCCCUUAAGCGACCCACGAGUCAGGAUGGGGGGAUGAAGAGGGACCCAUAACCCCCCCAUAACCCUUCCAUGAAGCGACCCACGAGUUGGGGUGGGGGGACGAAGGGGGACCCAUAACCCCCCCAUAACCCCAUAACCCCCCCAUAACCCCCCCUUAAGCGACCCACGAGUUGGGGGAGGGGGGACGAAGGGGGACCCAUAACCCCCCCUUAACCCCCCCAUAACCCCCCCUUAAGUGACCCACGAUCGGGGUGGGGGGAUGAAGGGGGACCCAUAACCCCCCCACAACCCCCCCAUAACCCCAUAACCCCCCCAUGAAGCGACCCACGAGUUGGGGUGGGGGGACGAAGGGGGACCCAUAACCCCCCCAUAACCCCCCCCCUUAAGUGACCCACGAGUUGGGGUGGGGGGACGAAGGGGGACCCAUAACCCCCCCAUAACCCCAUAACCCCCCC